AGCAGCCGCGGUAAUUCCAGCUCCAAUAGCGUAUAUUAAAGUUGUUGCAGUUAAAAAGCUCGUAGUUGAAUUUCGGGGUUUAUCCGUCGGUCGGGCUUUCGGGUCUGUACUGGCGUGAUGGAUUCCUACCUUCUGAAUAACCGGCAUGUCAUUAAUUUGGUGCGCCGGGGAAGCAGGACUGUUACCUUGAAAAAAUUAGAGUGCUUAAAGCAGGCUUAUGCCUGAAUACAUUAGCAUGGAAUAAUGAAAUAGGACGGCAUGGUUCUAUUUUGUUGGUUUCUAGGAUCACCGUAAUGAUUAAUAGGGAUAGUUGGGGGCAUUAGUAUUCAAUUGUCAGAGGUGAAAUUCUUGGAUUUAUUGAAGACUAACUUCUGCGAAAGCAUUUGCCAAGGAUGUUUUCAUUAAUCAAAGACGAAAGUUAGGGGAUCGAAGACGAUCAGAUACCGUCGU
rnacentral:rRNA from 1 species